GAAGUACAGGAGCGAAAGGGCUUAUCAAACUGCGGAUAUGUAUCGCAUCACCGUCACUUCAGAUCCUCCAGCAGAAACAGGAAAAGUCUGCAUGACUGUGAAUGAAAACAAGGAAAUUGUGCCG